AGCAAAAUGAUGAGGUCUUAAUAUCUGAAUUUCAUGUUGAAUCCUUAUUUCAAAUGGUCUUCAAAGUUCUCUGAUUGCU